GACGAACGCUGGCGGCGUGCUUAACACAUGCCAGUCGAGCGGAAAGGCCCUUCGGGGUCCUCGAGCGGCGAACGGGCGAGUAACACGUGAGUAACCUGCCCCAGACUUUGGGAUAACCCUCGGAAACGGGGGCUAAUACCGGAUACGACACAGCUUCGCAUGGGGUCUGUGUGGAAAGUUUUUCGGUUUGGGAUGGGCUCGCGGCCUAUCAGCUUGUUGGUGGGGUGAUGGCCUACCAAGGCGACGACGGGUAGCCGGCCUGAGAGGGCGACCGGCCACACUGGGACUGAGACACGGCCCAGACUCCUACGGGAGGCAGCAGUGGGGAAUAUUGCACAAUGGGCGGAAGCCUGAUGCAGCGACGCCGCGUGAGGGAUGACGGCCUUCGGGUUGUAAACCUCUUUCAGCAGGGACGAAGCGUAAGUGACGGUACCUGCAGAAGAAGCGCCGGCCAACUACGUG
rnacentral:rRNA from 1 species